rnacentral:rRNA from 1 species
UUCCACAGCCAUAUCACCCUGCAGCCCAGGACCGGUAACUCACUGAAGCUAAGCAGGGCUGAGCCUGGUUAGUACCUGGAUGGAAGGCCACUAUAGGGAACACCAGGUUGCUGUUGGAA